rnacentral:misc_RNA from 1 species
UCCGGUUUGUCACCGGCAGUCUCUGCAGAGUCCCCGGCAUUACCCGCUGGCAACAGCAGACAGGGGUUGCGCUCGUUGCGGCACUUAAGCCAACACCUCACGGCACGAGCUGACGACAGCCGUGCAGCACCUGUGCUAGCCCCUUACGGACACCGGCUUCCACCGGCUUUAACUAGCAUGUCAAGCCUAGGUAAGGUUCUUCGCGUUGCAUCGAAUUAAGCCACAUGCUCCGCCGCUUGUGCGGGCCCCCGUCAAUUCCUUUGAGUUUCAGUCUUGCGACCGUACUCCCCAGGCGGCGAACUUAACGCGUUAGCUUCGACACUGAGCUCCAAGUUGAGCCCAACGUCCAGUUCGCAUCGUUUAGGGCGUGGACUAC